rnacentral:lncRNA from 1 species
UAAGACCUGGUGAAGAGUAUAUAUGAUAUUUUAGUGAGCUUAGUAGUGCAUCGAUAUAAGUGUAUAGCAGAUAUGGGUUGUUGAGCGGCACUUCUAGUACAAUGAGUACAAAUCAUACCCCAAUGACAAGUAAGAGAGAAACAGAAAACUAAGUUUAUGAUGAGGGAAAGACACUGAAUGCCAAGUGGAACAAAAUCAAAAAUUAAGAAGCAACAAGAAACACACAAUCAACAAUAUACACAGUUA